rnacentral:rRNA from 1 species
GACGUAGGGCGCGAGCGUUGUCCGGAUUUAUUGGGCGUAAAGAGCUCGUAGGCGGCUUGUCGCGUCGACUGUGAAAACCCACGGCUCAACUGUGGGCUUGCAGUCGAUACGGGCAGACUAGAGGUAUGCAGGGGAGAACGGAAUUCCUGGUGUAGCGGUGAAAUGCGCAGAUAUCAGGAGGAACACCGGUGGCGAAGGCGGUUCUCUGGGCCGAUACUGACGCUGAGGAGCGAAAGCGUGGGGAGCAAACAGG